GGGUGAUCAGUGGCGAACGGGUGAGUAACACGUGAGCAACCUACCCCUGACUCUGGGAUAACCCCGAGAAAUCGGAGCUAAUACCGGAUACGAGACGUACGGGCAUCUGUAACGUCUGGAAAGAAUUUUGGUCAGGGAUGGGCUCGCGGCCUAUCAGCUAGUUGGUGGGGUAACGGCCCACCAAGGCGACCACCGGUAGCCGGCCUGAAAGGGCGACCGGCCACACUGGGACUGAAACACGGCCCAAACUCCUACGGGAGGCAGCAGUGGGGAAUAUUGCACAAUGGGCGAAAGCCUGAUGCAGCGACCCCCCGUGGGGGAUGAAGGCCUUCGGGUUGUAAACCCCUUUCAGCAGGGAAAAAGCGAAAGUGACGGUACCUGCAGAAGAAGCGCCCGCUAACUACCUGCCAGCAGCCGCGGUAAUACGUAAGGCGCAAGCGUUGUCCGGAAUUAUUGGGCGUAAAGAGCUCGUARGCGGUUUGUCGCGUCUGCUGUGAAAACCCGAGGCUCAACCUCGGGCCUGCAGUGGGUACGGGCAGACUARAGUGCGGUAGGGGAGACUGGAAUUCCUGGUGUAGCGGUGGAAUGCGCAGAUAUCAGGAGGAACACCGAUGGCGAAGGCAGGUCUCUGGGCCGCAACUGACGCUGARGAGCGAAAGCAUGGGGAGCGAACAGGAUUAGAUACCCUGGUAGUCCAUGCCGUAAACGUUGGGCACUAGGUGUGGGGCUCAUUCCACGAGUUCCGUGCCGCAGCAAACGCAUUAAGUGCCCCGCCUGGGGAGUACGGCCGCAAGGCUAAAACUCAAAGGAAUUGACGGGGGCCCGCACAAGCGGCGGAGCAUGCGGAUUAAUUCGAUGCAACGMGAAGAACCUUACCAAGGCUUGACAUAUACCGAAAAMUCAUGGAGACAUGGGGUCCGCAAGGGCGGUAUACAGGUGGUGCAUGGUUGUCGUCAGCUCGUGUCGUGAGAUGUUGGGUUAAGUCCCGCAACGAGCGCAACCCUCGUCCUAUGUUGCCAGCACGUCGUGGUGGGGACUCAUAGGAGACUGCCGGGGUCAACUCGGAGGAAGGUGGGGAUGACGUCAAAUCAUCAUGCCCCUUAUGUCUUGGGCUUCACGCAUGCACAAUGGCCGGUACAAAGGGCUGCGAUACCGCGAGGUGGAGCGAAUCCCAAAAAGCCGGUCUCAGUUCGGAUUGGGGUCUGCAACUCGACCCCAUGAAGUCGGAGUCGCUAGUAAUCGCAGAUCAGCAACGCUGCGGUGAAUACGUUCCCGGGCCUUGUACACACCGCCCGUCAAGUCACGAAAGUCGGUAACACCCGAAGCC
rnacentral:rRNA from 1 species